UUGUGAAAGAAGCUGUGGGAGUUUAUCUAUCGGCAGAACUUGGAAACAUGACGGAAGCUCAGCCGUCGGAGAGGUUCGAAAAGAUGUCGUCCAAGGUCAGACACCGGUAGAAUCCCGGGAGGGUCACUAUUGAUACGAACUUCGGCUGGAGGGUAUUUUAUACCCAACACCAGUCCCCCUACUUUCGAGUUCGAGUUUCGAAUGAAGGAAGUAUAAAAAAAUUUUCACAGCC
rnacentral:lncRNA from 1 species